rnacentral:rRNA from 1 species
AGCGAACGCUGGCGGCAGGCCUAACACAUGCAAGUCGAGCGCCCAGCAAUGGGAGCGGCAGACGGGUGAGUAACGCGUGGGGAUGUGCCCAAUGGUGCGGAGUAACCCAGGGAAACUUGGAUUAAUACCGCAUGUGCCCUUCGGGGGAAAGAUUUAUCGCCAUUGGAUCAACCCGCGUCUGAUUAGCUAGUUGGUGAGGUAAAGGCUCACCAAGGCGACGAUCAGUAGCUGGUCUGAGAGGAUGAUCAGCCACACUGGGACUGAGACACGGCCCAGACUCCUACGGGGGGCAGCAGUGGGGAAUAUUGGACAAUGGGCGCAAGCCUGAUCCAGCCAUGCCGCGUGAGUGAUGAAGGCCUUAGGGUUGUAAAGCUCUUUCGCCGGUGAAGAUAAUGACGGUAACCGGAGAAGAAGCCCCGGCUAACUUCGUGCCAGCAGCCGCAGUAA